GAGUUUGAUCGUGGCUCAGAUUGAACGCUGGCGGCAUGCCUUACACAUGCAAGUCGAACGGCAGCACGGGAGCUUGCCCCUGGUGGCGGAGUGGCGAACGGGUGAGUAAUGCAUCGGAACGUAUCCUGGAGUGGGGGAUAACGUAGCGAAAGUUACGCUAAUACCGCAUAUUCUGUGAGCAGGAAAGCGGGGACCUUCGGGCCUCGCGCUCUUGGAGCGGCCGAUGUCGGAUUAGCUAGUUGGUGAGGUAAAGGCUCACCAAGGCGACGAUCCGUAGCAGGUCUGAGAGGAUGAUCUGCCACACUGGAACUGAGACACGGUCCAGACUCCUACGGGAGGCAGCAGU
rnacentral:rRNA from 1 species